rnacentral:misc_RNA from 1 species
AGAAGCAAAGUGAAAUGAAGAAAUUACAAAUCUGCCGAUCGGCACGGCCUAUAAGUUUUAUUCUCUAUAUGAUUAGUAAUGCAGGAUAUGCCAACAAUCAUGGAGAUUUUCUAGUAGGAUUUUGCAGCCUCUAGACGAGCUUUAAUGAAAGCAAUAUGUUCCUCUUUUGGAGGAAGGCAUUCAUUGACUAUCUCUAUUUUAAGUAGCUUUUCUAUCCUUUUGCAUAUAGCUGGAAGUUUCCCUUCACUUAUCAAUUCCACUCCCAUAAUUUCUUGAUUGACUCGAAAGCCAUAGGCCAUAAA